GGGAGAGUGGCGGGUUUUUUCUUUGCCACACCUUGGAAGUCCAUACAUUUUGUUUUCGUGAGAAGUGUGUUAGUUAUUGUUGUAAACUGGUUAUUUGUUAUUGAGAUUUGAUUUGCAAGUCGAUGAAUUUGGGUUUGCAGGUUCCGUAAUUGGACGUUUUUUUUAGGUCAAUCAUUGUUUAUUCGGUGUUGACAACUUUGUAACACAAAAUCAAUUGUAAGCAUUAUGAAAAAAGAGGAAUUUGGAAUGUGUAACUCUCAUAGCUUUUCUCCAGCCAAUCUAUACGAUAGGAAGGAUCUCCUCAUUUGUUUAUAGUAAUAACACUUCUUGCAUUGAUCUUUGAUGGGUUUCAUGUCAGAGAACUUGUGCAGUUUCAGAGUCCAUUGUUUAUCUUCCAAGACUGGGGAAAUGAUGUAGCGGACAAAUACGUUAAACGGUCGAUCAAGAGAUCUAAAGAUCAGAGACCUGUUCUUAGAUUAAUCACACAAAGAAUAACCAAAAAAUUCUAUUAUUAAUUAUCAAAGUCUGAAUACAAGGCUUCAAUGCAUAUUUAUAAUAAAUCUUUAAAUCUAGAAAACUCUAAUUUUAAUUAAAAUAGAAAAACCAAUAAAAUAUGAAAAUCUAUAAUAUAAUGAGGGAGUUUCUCUCCUCCUGAGGUGACACGUCAGCACUUUUUAAAGGGACCAAAUUUAUUUUCGUAUAACACUUACGUCGUCCUGGCUAUAACAACUAAAGUCUACUUGGCCCAGUGGUAUAACCUGCUCAUAGUAAAGCUUGAGUGUACGGGUUCGAAUCCCCCUGGCUUCCUUUUUAAUUUUUUUUCUAUUACACCUUCAAGGCUCCUUAAGGUGUCCACGUGUGCACUUUGUGGGUCCCACCUUUAGUUUUCUUUUUAUUUUUUCUUCUUUUUGUCGGGUGAGCUGCGAUCUGUAACCAUAAUGAGCUUCGAAUUUUUUUUUAGGGAUUCAUUGUUACCGUGCUUUGUCUCUUCCACUUCUCCUUCUCCGUUAAUCUUUGACUCCAGGGACAGUGGAUGCUUCUCCAACUUUUAGCCUCCCCUAUCAUUCAACGGGUUUCUCUUAAUUUUUCGCAAAAAGCAAUUAUCUCAAUGCGAAAGGCAGAGAUAAAACGUUAAGGGCAGAGCCCGACCCCUUCUUCUUCUUCGUGAAAAAGCUCCUGAAGCCCAGAAAAAGGAAGUAGUUUUAUAUUAAAUCUACUAGAUUUUUCAUCAGUUAAUUGACCCUAAAGCGAGCUUCUUUCACGUCUUCCCUUUUCAUCAUCUCAUCGUUCCAACUCCAUAUCUAUCACCCUCCCCCACUCUCUGUUCAUCUCAAAGGUCAAUUUCUUCUACCUUUAUCUCUCUUUGGGCCGUUCAGAUUUUUCAAUCCUGUUCCGGUGAUUGAAGAAAUGUUCACUAUAUGCUUCUCAGACCGGAAACGCUCUUGAUGCUGCAGAGGGUAUUAGCCGUGAAGCUGAACGCCGAGGCUGUCCUGCGUCUA
rnacentral:lncRNA from 1 species